CAACAUGACUCUCGGCAACGGAUAUCUCGGCUCUCGCAUCGAUGAAGAACGUAGCAAAAUGCGAUACCUGGUGUGAAUUGCAGAAUCCCGUGAACCAUCGAGUUUUUGAACGCAAGUUGCGCCCGAGGCCUUCUGGUUGAGGGCACGUCUGCCUGGGCGUCACG
rnacentral:rRNA from 4 species